rnacentral:rRNA from 1 species
UACGUAGGGUGCGAGCGUUAUUCGGAAUUACUGGGCGUAAAGCGUGCGCAGGCGGCGCGUUAAGACAGGUGUGAAAGCCCCGAGCUUAACUUGGGAAUUGCGCUUGUGACUGGCGUGCUGGAGUGUGGCAGAGGGAGGUGGAAUUCCACGUGUAGCAGUGAAAUGCGUAGAGAUGUGGAGGAACACCGAUGGCGAAGGCAGCCUCCUGGGCCAGCACUGACGCUCAUGCACGAAAGCGUGGGGAGCAAACAGA